AACGAUCGUUUUCCACAUAAUUGUAAACACAGAAAUCUUUUCAGCUAUGAGUGUGCUAAGUGAUUUUUAAAAUAAGUAAUUUUUGCUUAAAAAAUCUUAAAUAAAUCUAUAUUUUGAAUUAAAUUGAAUGUCAGUAGUGUAAUUUUCAAUAUGUGAAGUGAAAAAUGUGAAAAAAUAGUGUUACAGUGUGUGAAAUUCCAUGUGUUACUUAUAGGAAAAAUUGGACAUUUAAACAUGAAUAUUUUAAAAACUAUAAGUCCAAUCAAGAAUAUUUAUAUAUAUGCCUACUCUGGAGAGCCUUCUCUUUCCACCGAUACCCCAUUUAUACAGAUCGGAGUUGUCACACCCCGACCGCCAAAUAAUCGGAAUCGUGCCACGGCGAAUACCGCAGACGAUGGAACGAUGAGCUGUACAAUUUAUACGACGACAUUGACAUAGUUCAGCGAAUAAAAAGACAGCGGCUAAUUUCCAUAAUGUGGAAUUGAAGAGGGUGAUACAAUAAUACUUCAUCGCACUGCCAAUUCGAAGAGCGCAGGUACGCAGCCUAAUUGGUGUCACUUAUUUUUGCAAUAUUUUUGGACUUACCGGCACCUCAGUUGGCCGUGCCAUUAGCAGCUAAAACACAGAAAUUAAAGGGAGGACUUUUUUGAUUCAUUUUCAUAUUGAGGAAUCAUAACGUUGUUGUAUCGCUUUACAAUAAUAAGGAUUCACGGCAAUUAGAUCAAUGGAAUGACUACAGCAAGAGCAUGGAUGUUAAGACUAGAACGGUGCCGUGUUAUAUUUAGAAUUCCUGAAACAAGAAACCCUCCUCCCAGAUGAAUCUAGUACUAGUGAAAUUAAUGAAAGCACAGAUCUUAUAAAAACUCCGAAAGAAACCAAAAGAGUCCUCACAUAAUGUGCGCAGCUUACACUUCCAGACCGCACGGGGUAUUUGACAUUUUCCACUCUUCCUCCUGCCUUUGUCCGAUAUCAAAAAUUGUUCAAAUAUUCAUUUUCAUAUGUAUAUAGUGUAGUACGAUAAUAUAUCUAUAAAGUAAAUAUAAUAAUAAACAACUAAAUGGCAUGAUAUUUUCAACAAA